AACGAACGCUGGCGGCAUGCCUAACACAUGCAAGUCGAACGAGACCUUCGGGUCUUGUGGUGCACGGUUUCGUAACGCGUGGGAACCUGCCCUUAUGUUUGGAAUACCUCUCCGACAGGGGUGCUAAUACCGGACAAUGUCUUCGGACCAAAGAUUUGUUGCCCUUGGAUGGGCCCGCGUUGGAUUAGCUAGUUGGUUAGGUAAAAGCUUACCCAGCCGACGAUCCAUAGCUGGUCUGAGAGGAUGAUCAGCCACACUGGGACUGAGACACGGCCCAGACUCCUACGGGAGACAGCAGUGGGGAAUAUUGGAAAAUGGGCGAAAGCCUGAUCCAGCAAUGCCGCGUGAGUGAUGAAGGCCUUAGGGGUGUAAAGCUCUUUUACCCGGGAUGAUAAUGGCAGUACCGGGAGAAGAAGCUCCGGCUAAAUCCGUGC
rnacentral:rRNA from 1 species